rnacentral:lncRNA from 1 species
CUCGCGUGAGUGCGCGUGCGUUGGGGCCUCAGCCUUUAUCUCCACUCUGCGGAGAUUCACGCCUGGAAAACGCUCUUCUGAGAGGAUCUGUGGAGGUCAACCCAGGAGAGAGAAGACAGGACUGAAGCACUGAAAGGGUCCUGCCGUUAAGGGCGCAGGAUUGUAUAGAAUAUAUAAUAGCAGUAGCAGCUCUGUUUACGGAGCAUUAACCUUACGUGGAGUUAUUUCCUGCAUUUCCUCCUUUCGUCUUUACAAGGUAGCCGUUUGGCGUCGUGAGGUAUGGAUGUUCCCAUCCCUAAUUUGCAAAAUAGGUAACUGAGGCUCAGGAGAGCUAGACUAGUUUGUGCACAGCCGAGAAGUGGUCAAGCUAGAAUGGGACCCCAGGUUUGUGCUCCCUACUCUCCACCGAUAACCUAUCAAAGGGCUUUGCAAGAGCUUUUGACUAAUCGUCUGUCAAUGGUUCUUCAUUCACGUAUUAAUUGCACAUCAGUAUGUGCCAAAUCUACUAGACAUUGGAGAAACAGUAGGAACAACACAUGGUACCGGCACAUGGAUCUUUCAGGAAAACGAAGUAGGUAAUAAACAGGAAAAAGCCCGAGUCUGAUGCUAAGAAGAACAUAAACAGGAUGCUGAGGUAAGAGAAUAACUGGAUGUGGGGACUUCUUCGUAUUAGAUGAUUAAGGAAGGAAUCUCAGGAGGUAACAUUUAAGCUGAGACCCCUGAGGAAUGAGAAAGGGCUGGCUAUUGGAAAUCCAAGGAAAGAUUUCUGGGCAGAUGGGUAGAAAUUUUAAGGUGGAAAUAAGCUAAAUAUGUUCAAGAAUCAGCAAGAAGGUCAUUGUAGCUGGAGUAGAUCGAGUAGGAGGAGACUGAUAAAGGAGAUUGGGUCUCUCCACAUUGCCCCGGCUGCUCUCCAACCCCUGAGUUCAAGUGAUUCACCUCCCUUGGCCUCCCAAAGUACUGGGAUUACAGGCGUGAGCCACCGUGCCUGGCUGAGAAGAUGGAUUUAAGACAUAUUUUGGAGCGGAAAGUGACCAGAAGAGGUGUGCAGUUUCCAGGCCUGGCCCAUACAGACCUCCAACAGGUGCUCCCCUGUGCUGUUACUCCUUCUGCCAACUGGAAGCAGAUGGUGACCAGGCUCUGGAGAAGGCAAGGCCUGAAGAUGGGAGAUUCCUAAGUGGAGGAGAACUGUGCCUUACUGACCUAAAUAUCCACUCAGUAUUGUUAUGUGAGAAUAAAUAAACUUGUGUUGACCGUU